GGUGAGAUGGCUCAGUGGGUAAGAGCACCCGACUGCUCUUCUGAAGGUCCUAAGUUCAAAUCCCAGCAACCA
rnacentral:tRNA from 1 species